ACCUACCUCCUGCCUGGCAACCAUCAGUUUGAUUUCUAUAGAGUGGGUCUCUAGGUUGAAAAUUCUACUGAAUAUCUGUGAAGAUAUUUUAACUGCUUAUAGUUUAUACUGGGUUCAGAUCUGACCCAUAGGCCUUCUCUGAAUAUAAAUUGAAGAACAUGUUUUUUAUGGCAUAUUUUCUCAUGACAGAGGGCAGAUGAUUGAUGGAAACUUGCCAGACUUCCUAAAGACUCUACUUGGAACAGACAUUAUCACUU